UCCAAAUGCAGAUCCUCAUGAUCCAGUACCCUAGCAGUCAGCUGGGGGAGAUGUCCUUGGAAGAACACAGCCAAUGUGAAUACAGACCCAAACAAAAGGAAAGUGCUGUAAAGCCAAACAGGGCUGCCAUACCCCACCACCAUCCCCAGCCCUGCUCUGUUCUGGGCUGGGAUUCCGACCGCGGAGCACCCUCCCCAGCUGACAUCAUCCAUCCCAUUCCAGCCCCAGGAUUCUCUGUCCACGCUGCACCCAGCGCCAUCAGCGCCCUGACCCCCGGACCUGCUGCUACUGCUGUAGAUGCCACAGCUUCCUCCGUUGAAGAGGGGAGCCCAGAACACCCCAGCCCAGGAGAUCUCAGCUGGGGCUCCAGAAGGGCCAGGGCCAGAAGCUGAGGUAGAAGAGACUGAACUCUUAGAGGCCGAGGAGAUGCCUGGGGGUUCUAGGAUACUGAGAACAGAGACUGAGACAAUAGAAUUGAAGAUAUUGGGGGUCCAGGAGACAGAAGUGAGGGCUUUGGGGAUCCCAGGAAUAGAAAAUGAAACAGCAGAAGCUGAAAUAUUGAGGAUCCAGAAGGCAGAAAUAGGGGGUUUUGAGGGUCCAGUGAUAGCUGCUGAGAUGGGAAAGUCUGAGAUAUCGGAGGCCCAGGAAACAGAGGUUAGGGAAUCAGGGGCUCUGUGGAUAGACAUGACACAGCCUGAGAUGCUGGGAACCCAGGAGAUAGAAGUUGGUGGCUCAGGGAUCCCAGGGAUAGAACCUGAAAUAGCCAGGGCUCAGGAAACAGAGGUGGGGGAUUCUGGGACUUCCAGGCCAGAAGCUGGAACAGUAGAGGCUGAGGUUCUGAGGGCCCAGUGGACAGAAACUGUAGUUACGGAGUUGGAGGAGGCAAAGACAGAAACUUUGGCAAUCCAGGAGACUGAGACCUGGGGAGCUCUCACAGUCACUGAGCAAAGAGUUUGGGGCUCAGGCAAUAGAGGCAGAAGUAUCCAGGACACCAGAGACAGAGACUAAAGUUCUGAGGCUUUGGAGGACAGAGGCUAGAGUGUUGGGAAAAGCAGAGGCCAAAUCUUUGACUUUGGGGCCCCAGAAAGCAGAGAUAGCAGUUUUUGAGCCCCUGGAAAAUAAGUCUGGUAUUUUUGAGGCCCAGGAAGCAGAAUCUGGGGUCUUGGGAACACAGAAGGAAAAAGAAGCUGAAGAAAGCCUCCCAGAAGCCAGCUUGAUUGAGGCACAGGUGGCCAAUGGGGCAGGGGCUGGGGUACCCAGGCCCUCGGGGGCCUCUUCCCCAGAGGAGCCCAAAGAGGACAGGAGGCUGCCGGGCAGCCAGGCACCACCUGCCCUGGUCAGCUCCAGCCAGUCCCUGCUAGAGUGGUGUCAAGAGGUCACCAGUGGCUACCGUGGUGUCCCUAUCACCAAUUUCACCACAUCCUGGCACAACGGCCUGGCUUUCUGUGCUAUUUUACACCGGUUCUACCCAGACAAGAUCGACUAUUUCUCUCUUGAUCCACUGAACAUCAAACAGAACAACAAACAGGCUUUUGAUGGCUUCGUGGCCCUGGGCGUGUCUUGGCUGCUGGAGCCAGCAGACAUGGUGCUUCUGUCGGUGCCUGACAAGCUCAUCGUCAUGACAUACCUGUACCAGAUCCGCACCUUCUGCACCGGGCAGGAGCUUCAGCUGGUGUAGCUGGAGGGCGGCGGGGCCUCCGGCACUUACCGCGUGGGCAGCGCCCAGCUGAGCCUGCAGGACGACCUGGACGCCGGUGGCCUGGCACAGUGGCUGCGCGGCCACGGGACCGACGCAUCCAAGGAACCCUGAGAGGCCGGGAACAGCGGGGCUGGGGCGAUAUCCAAGGCUGCCUCCAGUGAUGCAGACCCGGGCUGUGCCUCCAAGGAUGGCGAGGCCAAGGCUGUCAGGGAAGAGUUGGCCUCCAGCGGCCCGGAGUGUGCUUGCCCAUGGCCCCCGCAGAGGGGCUGAUGAACUGGGCUGGGGCGUCGGGUGUGGUGGGCGCUGUGAAGCUGAGACGGGCAUCCGUCAACGGAGAGUCCAGGCCUGUGCCACCACCCCAAGCACAUGGCUCCUUCUCCCACGUGUGUGACGCGGAUCUGCUAAAGAAGAGACAUUCACGGCGCGGAACAGCAACUCCUUCUCUGUGGAUGACCCAGACUCUGGAGCUGCGGGAGGCACCGGACCUGUGGGACCUGGGGCUGCCGAAGGCCCUAGCCCCGACUCCAGCCUUGACCCUAGCCCACUCACAGACACAGCCCUGCAGCAGCCCUCUGGUGGGAACCCUCCUUCAGAUGAACCAUCCCCCAAGUCCAGGAGAGGAGGCUGGACUGCAACGACUCCAGGACACAAGUCAGUACGUGUGUGCAGAGUUUCAGGCCCUAGAACAGGAGCAGAGACAGAUAGAUGGCAGAGCAGGUGAGGUGGAAACACAGCUGAGAAGCCUCAUGGAAUCAAGUGCCAACAGGCUACAGGAGGAGAUGCUGAUCCAGGAGUGGUUCACACUGGUCAACAAGAAGAACACCCUCAUCAGGAGACAGGACCAGUUGAAGCUUCUCAUUGAGGAGCAGGACUUGGAGCAGAGGUUUGAACUGCUGAGCCGGGAGCUGCGGGCCAUGUUGGCCAUUGAAGAGUGGCAGAAAACGGUGGCGCAGCAGCACCGGGAGCAGCUCUUGCUGGAAGAGCUGGUGUCUUUGGUGAACCAGAGAGAUGAGCUGGUCCGGAACCUGGACCACAAGGAGGAGAUCACACUGGAGGAAGAUGAGUGCUUGGAACGCAUCCUGGAGCAGCGGCGCCGCAAGGUCAGCCGGCAGCUGAGCCGGCGGGAGCGCUGCACGCUGAACUGAGCUGAGCUGGGCUGAGCUGGGCUAGCCUCCACCCUCCUGGAAGCACUCGCCUUCUGUCUGUGCAGCAGAGGAUCUGGACCUCCAGAAAGCAGAGCACAGCCUGUAGCCUCCAACGUUCCGUCAGCCUGCA